rnacentral:rRNA from 1 species
UACGAAGGGGGCUAGCGUUGCUCGGAAUCACUGGGCGUAAAGGGCGCGUAGGCGGCUUGGUAUGUCGGGUGUGAAAUCCCCAGGCUCAACCUGGGAACUGCAUCCGAAACUGCCUUGCUCGAGUAUGGGAGAGGGAAGUGGAAUUUCCGGUGUAGCGGUGAAAUGCGUAGAGAUCCGGAGGAACCCCAGAGGCGAAGGCGGCGCUCUGGCUCGCAACUGACGCUCAGACACGACAGCAUGGGGAGCGAACGGG